rnacentral:rRNA from 1 species
UACAGAGGUCCCAAGCGUUGUUCGGAUUCACUGGGCGUAAAGGGUGCGUAGGUGGUCAGAUAAGUCUGAUGUGAAAGCUCUGGGCUCAACCCAGAAAUGGCAUUGGAUACUAUUUGGCUUGAGGAAUGGAGGGGGGACUGGAAUACUUGGUGUAGCAGUGAAAUGCGUAGAUAUCAAGUGGAACACCAGUGGCGAAGGCUAGUCCCUGGACAUUUCCUGACACUGAGGCACGAAAGCUAGGGGAGCGAACAGG